rnacentral:rRNA from 2 species
UUUUGGGCGGCGUGCCUAAUACAUGCAAGUCGAGCGGAUCUUUCAAAAGCUUGCUUUUUGAAGGUCAGCGGCGGACGGGUGAGUAACACGUGGGCAACCUGCCUGUGAGACUGGGAUAACUUCGGGAAACCGGAGCUAAUACCGGAUAAUAUAAGGAACCUCGCAUGGUUCUUUAUUGAAAGAUGGUUUCGGCUAUCACUCACAGAUGGGCCCGCGGCGCAUUAGCUAGUUGGUGAGGUAACGGCUCACCAAGGCGACGAUGCGUAGCCGACCUGAGAGGGUGAUCGGCCACACUGGGACUGAGACACGGCCCAGACUCCUACGGGAGGCAGCAGUAGGGAAUCUUCCGCAAUGGACGAAAGUCUGAUGGAGCAACGCCGCGUGAGCGAUGAAGGCCUUCGGGUCGUAAAGCUCUGUUGUUAGGGAAGAACAAGUGCCGAGAGUAACUGCUCGGCACCUUGACGGUACCUAACCAGAAAGCCACGGCUAACUACGUGCCAGCAGCCGCGGUUAUACGUUAGGUGGCAAGCGUUGUCCGGAAUUAUUGGGGCGGUAAAGCGCGGCGCAGGUGGUCCUUUAAGUCUGAUGUGGAAAGCCCACGGCUCAACCGUGGAGGGUCAUUGGAAACUGGGGGACUUGAGGUGCAGAAGAGGAAAGUGGAAUUCCAGGUGUAGCGGUGAAAUGCGUAGAGAUUUGGAGGAACACAGUGGCGAAGGCGACUUUCUGGUCUGUAACUGACACUGGAGGCCCACGGCUCAAUCCGUGGGAGGGUUCAUUGGAAACUGGGGGACUUGAGUUGCAGGAAGAGGAAAGUGGAAUUCCAAGUGUAGGCGGUGGAAAUGCGUAGAGAUUUGGAGGCACACCAGUGGGCGAAGGCGACUUUCCUGGUCUGUAACUGACACUGAGGCGCGGAAAGCGUGGGGGAGCAAACAGGAUUAGAUACCCUGGUAGUACACGCCGUAAACGAUGAGUGCUAAAGUGUUAGAGGGGUUUUCCUGCCCUUUAGUGCUGCAGCUAACGCAUUAAGCACUCCGCCUGGGGAGUACGGUCGCAAGACUGAAACUCAAAGGAAUUGACGGGGGCCCGCACAAGCGGUGGAGCAUGUGGUUUAAUUCGAAGCAACGCGAAGAACCUUACCAGGUCUUGACAUCCUCUGACACUCCUAGAGAUAGGGAUUUCCCCUUCGGGGGACAGAGUGACAGGUGGUGCAUGGUUGUCGUCAGCUCGUGUCGUGAGAUGUUGGGUUAAGUCCCGCAACGAGCGCAACCCUUGAUCUUAGUUGCCAGCAUUCAGUUGGGCACUCUAAGAUGACUGCCGGUGACAAACCGGAGGAAGGUGGGGAUGACGUCAAAUCAUCAUGCCCCUUAUGACCUGGGCUACACACGUGCUACAAUGGACGGUACAAAGGGCAGCAAAACCGCGAGGUCGAGCCAAUCCCAUAAAACCGUUCUCAGUUCGGAUUGCAGGCUGCAACUCGCCUGCAUGAAGCCGGAAUCGCUAGUAAUCGCGGAUCAGCAUGCCGCGGUGAAUACGUUCCCGGGCCUUGUACACACCGCCCGUCACACCACGAGAGUUUGUAACACCCGAAGUCGGUGGGGUAACCUUUUGGAGCCAGCCGCCUAAGGUGGGACAGAUGAUUG